UUUCCUAGUACUUUGAAAUUUCACCGUUUUAAAUCUAUGACUUCUUUUUGUGAUCCGUCAAAAAGGGAUGUUAGAUAUAUGUGUUUAGUAGUUAACCCAAGUGGUAGUACUCAAAAAUGUUGAGUUUACAUGGGGUAGUGACUGAUUUGGUGAAAACAGUUCCGUUUUUACAACCAAAAAUGGGCAGAUUCGGGGCAGUCAGUAGCGAGGGCAAUUUCGUCCAGUUUUUGUGCUUUAAAAAUUCUGGGCUUUUGAUAUGUUGUAGUACACUGUUUUAGCUUUCCAUAGACUCCGGAACGGACUAAUUCCGACUCCGGAUGAGGUAGUUAUGGCGUUCGGAAGGUGCGUAGCAAAACUGUUCCUCAAUUUCCGAACAGCCUUCUUGAUGUAAAUUUUUGGACUGUUGUGUUCUGAUUUUGGAAAAAUGUCGUGAGACAAAAGUUGUAGCCCUGGAAGUUAUCUUCGCGUGGGCUCAAGAAUCGCUCAAAAAUGUUUUAAAACGCGAGAGUUAUGGCUGUUUUAGUGAGGCUGGGUAAAAUUUUCAAAAAAAAUCAAAAGUGUCCAAAAAUAGGAAAAAUGCGAUGUAUGAAGUGAGACCCGUGAGCAUGGCGUAUGCAAGUUUGUAAUGAAGUUUUGGGUCGGGUUUAAGGUGUUGUGAUGUUUAUGACAUUUUAAAAUGUUUAAACAAGUUUAUUAAUUACGGGAAGGAAAACAAUUGAAAUAAUUGUUUAUUUAAGUGAUUAAUGACAUAAAUUAUUCUUAUGUGACUAAUAAUAUGGUAUUAAGAUAUUAUUAGUAGUAUGUGACUGAAAUGUUAUUAAAAGGUUAGUAACCUUAGUGUAAAUGUUAUUACAUAAUUAAUAAUAUUUGACGGGAGAUUUAAUAAGAGAUUUAUGAUAUUUUGAGGUUUUCGGUGCUCAAAAUGAAGUUUUUGAGCUGAGAUUUACGUAACGAAGCAAAAAUGCGAAUAAUCGUAAAAUGAAAAAUAAAGCGAAUGUGCUAGUGAGAUAAAAUGUUUAUAUAUGAGGCAAUAGUCAAUGUUGACUCAUGAACGGACAAACUGAAGUAAAAGUUAUUUAAAGUGAAGAAAUAAUAUAGUAAAUUGAUUUUUACUAUAAAAGCUAUACAUUAGCUGUUUAAACUCCGAAUUUGCGAGUAGAGGUAAAAGAUAUUUCUAAAAUGAAAUUUAAAUGGUUUAAGUUUCAAGGUGUAAAAUAUUUGCAUCUUAAAAUGUGUGAG
rnacentral:lncRNA from 1 species